rnacentral:rRNA from 1 species
AGCGAACGCUGGCGGCAGGCCUAACACAUGCAAGUCGAACGAACCCUUCGGGGUUAGUGGCGGACGGGUGAGUAACACGUGGGAACGUACCUUUAGGUUCGGAACAACACAGGGAAACUUGUGCUAAUGCCGAAUGUGCCCUUCGGGGGAAAGAUUUAUCGCCUUUAGAGCGGCCCGCGUCUGAUUAGCUUGUUGGUGAGGUAAAGGCUCACCAAGGCUACGAUCAGUAGCUGGUCUGAGAGGAUGAUCAGCCACACUGGGACUGAGACACGGCCCAGACUCCUACGGGAGGCAGCAGUGGGGAAUCUUGCGCAAUGGGCGAAAGCCUGACGCAGCCAUGCCGCGUGAAGGAAGACGGCCUUAUGGGUUGUAAACUUCUUUACUAUGCGACUAACUAGAUUUACGAGAUAAUUCUAUAGAAUGUAGCAUAGCAAAAAGCACCGGCUAACUCCGUG